rnacentral:rRNA from 1 species
UGGGGAAUUGUUCGCAAUGGGCGCAAGCCUGACGACGCAACGCCGCGUGGAGGACGAAGAUCUUCGGGUCGUAAACUCCUGUCGAGCGGGACGAACGCUUCGCGGAUGAAUACUCCGCGGAAUUGACGGUACCGCUAAAGGAAGCCCCGGCUAACUCCGUGCCAGCAGCCGCGGUAAUACGGGGGGGGCAAGCGUUGUUCGGAAUUACUGGGCGUAAAGGGCUCGUAGGCGGCCAACUCAGUCGGACGUGAAAUCCCCAGGCUCAACCUGGGAACUGCGUCCGAUACUGGAUGGCUUGAAUCCGGGAGAGGGAUGCAGAAUUCCAGGUGUAGCGGUGAAAUGCGUAGAUAUCUGGAGGAAUACCGGUGGCGAAGGCGGCAUCCUGGACCGGCAUUGACGCUGAGGAGCGAAAGCCAGGGGAGCAAACGGGAUUAGAUACCCCGGUAGUCCUGGCCCUAAACGAUGAAUGCUUGGUGUGACGGGUAUCGAUCCCUGUCGUGCUGAAGCUAACGCAUUAAGCAUUCCGCCUGGGGAGUACGGUCGCAAGGCUGA